AGGGGAUUGGCGAGACCUUCAAAGUUUUGGCUAUGAUUCUGAUGCCAGAAGCGAGACUGGAGAAUGACUCCCAGACCCCUUGACGAAAGGCGAUCAAGCAAGCUCAUGCAGCUUGGAUACCUUCAAACCUUUUUGGUUGGCUUCUACUUUUCUGGGAAAACCUUUCUGGUGAAUGUGAAUGUUGGCCCACACAGGCCCCGUUCCAAGAGACAGAAAAUGUUGAAAGAGGGUUGCACUGCUGUACAAAUUGUCCAUGUAUAGUACUACAUUGCCAUCUCUCAGGUGUGCAGAGCAAGUAAGGUACAAGGCACAAAGCAACCCAUCCCUGCUGAACAUCAACUAAACCGUUGAGCACCUAAUUCCUUGGUGUACCAGCAGUGGCUAAAAGCCCAUCUCCCAUCCCACAUCUUCACCACAUUGCAUAGAGGGACUAUAGACAGCGUCCCGAGGAGCUGCAUCACGGCCUGGUUUGGGAACUGCACCGCUUCGAACCGCAAUUAUGCAGAGGAUAGUCAGGACAGCCAAGAAGAUAGUCGGGGUCUCUCUUCCCUCCCUCACAAACAUACCUAACGGUGCAUCCGCAAACCCACACGCAUUGUGGACAAACCCAUGCACCCCACAUGCACCUGUACAUCAUCAAUAUUUUUGCAUAUGGAUGCUACCUCAAUAA